GGGUUACGGAGAUGGAGAGAGGUUUGGAAUUUCCUUGGAAAAGGAAGGAAGUGUGCGGGUGCGUGCAUCACGAGUUUUGAUCAAUACAGUGAGCUCCCGCGAGAGCAUAGUUUAUUU
rnacentral:ncRNA from 1 species